rnacentral:lncRNA from 1 species
AUUAUCUCUUUGCCGUGUUCUUUAGCUCAAGUGUGAGAGGUUAAUGCGGAUUACUGUUGUUUUAGAUUGCUGGCUGGAGUUAGUUUGUUCCAGUCUACAGCUGGGAGAGGCUUUCCUACUCAAUCUCUUCUUUGAUGCCAUUUCUUGGAUUUGCAGGACUGAACAUCUGAGGGAUGAAGUGAGCAGUUGUGAUUCCGAAGCCACAAGAACUGGAUGA